rnacentral:rRNA from 1 species
GAUGAACGCUGGCGGCGUGCUUAACACAUGCAAGUCGAACGGAAAGGCUCCUGCUUGCAGGGGUACUCGAGUGGCGAACGGGUGAGUAACACGUGGGUGAUCUGCCCUGCACUUCGGGAUAAGCCUGGGAAACUGGGUCUAAUACCGGAUAGGACGAUGGUUUGGAUGCCAUUGUGGAAAGUUUUUCGGUGUGGGAUGAGCUCGCGGCCUAUCAGCUUGUUGGUGGGGUAAUGGCCUACCAAGGCGUCGACGGGUAGCCGGCCUGAGAGGGUGUACGGCCACAUUGGGACUGAGAUACGGCCCAGACUCCUACGGGAGGCAGCAGUGGGGAAGAGUGCACAAUGGGCGCAAGCCUGAUGCAGCGACGCCGCGUGGGGGAUGACGGCCUUCGGGUUGUAAACUCCUUUCGCUAGGGACGAAGCGUUUUGUGACGGUACCUGGAGAAGAAGCACCGGCUAACUACGUG